GAUGAACGCUGGCGGCGUGCCUAAUACAUGCAAGUCGAGCGGACGGACGCGGAGCUUGCUUCUCUGAUGUUUGCGGAGGGCGGGUGUGUCACGCGUGUAUCCCCUCCCUGUCAGACUGGGAUAACUUCGGGACACCGGCGCUUAUCCCGUAUGAUCUUUUGAACCGCAUGGUUCAAAAGUGAAAGACGGUCUUGCUGUCACGUCUAGCGGGAUCCGGGCUGCAUUAGCUAGUUGGUAAGGUCACGGCUUACCAAGGCAACGAUGCAUAACCGACCGGAGAGGGGGGUAGCCGGCACGGGAAGUGAGACAGGGUCCAGGGUCCUACGGGACGCAGCAGUAGGGAACCGGACGCAAUGGGCGGAAGCCUGACGGAGCAACGCCGCGUGAGAGAUGAAGGUCCUCGGAUCGUAAAACCCUGUUAUUAGGGAAGAACAGAUGUGGAAGUAACUGUGCACAUAGUGACGGUACCUAAUCAGAAAGCCACGGCUAACUACGUG
rnacentral:rRNA from 1 species